rnacentral:rRNA from 1 species
UACGAAGGGGGCUAGCGUUGCUCGGAAUCACUGGGCGUAAAGGGUGCGUAGGCGGGUCUUUAAGUCAGGGGUGAAAUCCUGGAGCUCAACUCCAGAACUGCCUUUGAUACUGAAGAUCUUGAGUUCGGGAGAGGUGAGUGGAACUGCGAGUGUAGAGGUGAAAUUCGUAGAUAUUCGCAAGAACACCGGUGGCGAAGGCGGCAUCCUGGACCGGCAUUGACGCUGAGGCGCGAAAGCCAGGGGAGCAAAGCGGGGA